rnacentral:rRNA from 1 species
UACGAAGGGGGCUAGCGUUGCUCGGAAUUACUGGGCGUAAAGCGCACGUAGGCGGCUUUCUAAGUCGGGGGUGAAAUCCUGGAGCUCAACUCCAGAACUGCCUUCGAUACUGGAAAGCUCGAGUCCGGGAGAGGUGAGUGGAACUGCGAGUGUAGAGGUGAAAUUCGUAGAUAUUGGGAAGAACACCCGUGGCGAAGGCGGUUCUCUGGGACGGUACUGGACGCUGAGACGCGAAAGCGUGGGGAGCGAACAGG